rnacentral:tRNA from 1 species
CGGGGAUUAGCGUAGUGGCUUAACGCGCCUGCUUUGGGAGCAGGAGACCGUGAGUUCAAAUCUCACAUCCCCGA